UACGUAGGGUCCGAGCGUUGUCCGGAUUUAUUGGGCGUAAAGGGCUCGUAGGCGGCCAACUAAGUCGGACGUGAAAUCCCCAGGCUCAACCUGGGAACUGCGUCCGAUACUGGAUGGCUUGAAUUCGGGAGAGGGAUGCAGAAUUCCAGGUGUAGCGGUGAAAUGCGUAGAUAUCUGGAGGAACACCGGUGGCGAAGGCGGCAUCCUGGACCGAGAUUGACGCUGAGGCGCGAAAGCUAGGGGAGCAAACGGG
rnacentral:rRNA from 1 species